GCCUUUUCUGCCUCCAUAUUCUGACUUGCUUGAGACAGCUCCAUGAAUCUGGUACAGGCUUGGGAUAAAACCAUAAGGGUCUAUGGGUCAGACUCUGUACCUUGUAACAGAGGCCACAGAUAAAUGUGAUCUGCCAGAAAGAUGUUAAUAGGUUUUUUCCAAGAUCGAGAGGCCAGUCACAUGCUUCUGCAAUCAUCUCCAAUUUUGAAGAAAACUCCAGUAAUUAUGUUCUGUAUCUGAGAUUCAUGUAAACUUAUAUUUCCUAUAUCACAAGCAUGAGGAGUCAUCUGUUAGUACCUAGCCUCUUCUCAGAAAAUUAAGAUUACUCAAACUGGAUUUAUGAUCUCUGACAUGAAAUUCCUCCCACUACU